rnacentral:lncRNA from 1 species
ACAUUCUCAAAUAUGCUAGAAACCUUGGUCUAAUUGAGGGGAUUGGUAGGCAGACGAAAUUUACUGAGCUACUCAGCUUGCAAUUUGCUGAUGAUACCCUUUUGCUCUGCACUGCAAAGAAUGUCAGUAUCCUGAUGGUGAAGGCUAUUCUCUUAACUUUUGAAGCAGCCUCUAGUCUGAAAAUCAAUUUUCAUAAGAAUUCCAUCUUGUGCCGGAAUAUGGAAGAUGUUAUGUCGGCAAGGUUUUCUUCCUUGUUGAAUUUUAUCUAGGGUUUUCUUAUCUUGAUCUUCUCUUGCACCAUAAAAGGCUGCCUAAAUAGUGUUGGUUGUCGUUGAUCGAAAAGAUCGGUUCAAGACUAGCUUCAAGGAAAGGAAGACUUAUAUAAUUGUGUGUGUUGGUGGGGGGGGAGUGGAGAUUAACUUUAUUGAAUGCGGUCCUCUUCGCUCUUCCUUCUUAUUAUAUGUCUGUGUAUAAGUUAUCGAGAU